rnacentral:rRNA from 1 species
UACGAAGGGGGCUAGCGUUGCUCGGAAUGACUGGGCGUAAAGGGCGCGUAGGCGGUUGACACAGUCAGGCGUGAAAUUCCUGGGCUUAACCUGGGGGCUGCGCUUGAUACAUGUUGACUUGAGUGUGGAAGAGGGUCGUGGAAUUCCCAGUGUAGAGGUGAAAUUCGUAGAUAUUGGGAAGAACACCGAUGGCGAAGGCAGCCAUCUGGAACGCAACUGACGCUGAGACGCGAAAGCGUGGGGAGCAAACAGG